rnacentral:rRNA from 1 species
AUGAACGCUGGCGGCGUGCCUAAUACAUGCAAGUCGAGCGAACAGACGAGGAGCUUGCUCCUCUGACGUUAGCGGCGGACGGGUGAGUAACACGUGGAUAACCUACCUAUAAGACUGGGAUAACUUCGGGAAACCGGAGCUAAUACCGGAUAAUAUAUUGAACCGCAUGGUUCAAUAGUGAAAGACGGUUUUGCUGUCACUUAUAGAUGGAUCCGCGCCGCAUUAGCUAGUUGGUAAGGUAACGGCUUACCAAGGCAACGAUGCGUAGCCGACCUGAGAGGGUGAUCGACCAGACUGGAACUGAGACACGGUCCAGACUCCUACGGGAGGCAGCAGUAGGGAAUCUUCCGCAAUGGACGGGAGCCUGACGGAGCAACGCCGCGGGAGUGAUGAAGGUCUUCGGAUCGUAAAGCUCUGUUAUUAGGGAAGAACAAAUGUGUAAGUAACUAUGCACGUCUUGACGGUACCUGAUCAGAAAGCCACGGCUAACUACGUG